UGUUGACUGCCGACUGAGAACGUAGGAUAACAGCUGCUUAGCAUCACCGUGGCCGAAGUCCGUGACUUUACCUUUUUUCCUCGGGUUGGCUCUAACACCAGAGGCGUAUAUCCUUCAGACCAUUAUGUUUAUGACUUUGAUGCGCACCUCCAGAGCUGACCGACUCAUUUAAGGAUCAAAUCCCCCGUAAAGGUAGUUGAAGACUGCAGUGGAGUUGAAGACUACCUGUACUGCGUGUGCACGCAUGUGGGAGAUGCAAUAUUGCCGAUUUUUCUUCACAGCCUGUCAGGACAGCCAGUGUUUGGUCCUGUCACCGGUGUGUUUUUUUUUUUUUAAAUCCUCUCUCGUCCAAACAGAAGGAUUUAGGUAAUUUAAUUUUAAUUUAACAAAACAAUUUAGGUAAAAAAAAACAAAAAACAAAACGCUGCUAAACAGCAUCCUUUUUAAUGGCAGAGUGCCAAAUUUCCUUCCCUUUCUAGCAUUUUCAAAAAAUUCUAGAAUUUUUCCCUUUAGGAUUAAGACAUUUCUGAAAAAUGAGCUAUACUUCUAAUAUUUUUUUCUAUAGAAAUAAAAAUAUUUAUGGCUGUAACUUAAUUACAUAUUCCCUAAAAAUGGAAAAAAAAACCACUUUUUCCCUAUACCUUCCGUGUUAGGUCAGACUACUGCGGACAGGUGCUGCCGCCUACGUUCCUGAAAACGACGACACUUUGGCAGAUAGGGAAUCCUUAAGCAGUAGACGUAUACCUCUAAACUAUUAUACUUUAUAGUUUAUACCAUGGUAGUUGUUCUGCUUGGUAUUAGUUAUUUGCAUCCAUUUGAUGCUCAAAUUUCACCUUCAUCACCUGCCUGAAAGCAUCACAAUUAUCUUUAUUGGUAAAUAACUUGACAUCAAUUUUUUUAAACUUUCAUGUAUUCACCAUGUUGCUGAUUGGGCUAAAGAAGCAGCUUUUUCUCCUAGAGGACUCCUAAAGACUCUUCCCCCAAGGAAAUUUGUAGCUGUGGACUUUAUUAAUUUGACUCUUGUAUCAUUAAUAUUUUUCCACUUCUUGGAACAAGGAACAUAGGAUAUCUUGAUGCCAACCAAGUGUCAUUGAAAAGAUUCUAAAAAGAUGUUUAAGGUAUUUGACGAAUGUGUAAUAAUGUUAGUAAAGUGACUUUUUUGGAAUUUGUAAAUUAGCAGGAAAAAAUUAAAGCUGGAGAACUAUACAUUUGUUUCUUGUUACUAGUUUGGUAAAUUGUUAAAAUGAAACAACAUAUGACCGUGACCUGUUACUUCAGUUAAUUGAUUGCAGAGUCAGAGAACAAUGCCAUAAAAUAACAAAACGGAGGUUAUUUAUCACUGAGUCAUAGAACAAUGUGUGGAAUCUGAUUUACUAGCCCUUGAAACCCCAGCUGCCCUUCUGCUUCAACAAGGCUAUAAAACAAUUAUAAUUUCAGGAGGCUCUAACUCGGUUUACGCAACGGAUGCCCCACUUUACCACCCAGCAAAUCUUUACUUGCGUUCUUCCAGUGCCGGGAAUUUGUUAUGCAUGCAAUUACUCAACAAGGCAUUAGUGGAACGGCGGAGAGAAAAGAUGUUUGCGAUGGGCAAUUCGAGAUCCAAGUAAAAACGGAGUGCCCAUUGUUUAAAGGCUUAGAGACUCGGCAAAAGGUAUUACUGAUCCAUGGUGACAGACAGUGUAGACAAGGUUGCAGAAGAGUUGCGUUGCGUCGCAUCAUCUUUGCGUCAUAUUAUUUCCGCUAUCGCUGAUACUGAACGCCGUCUUUACGAAGUCAAUUUCCAUGAUUUGAGUGAAAACGGACGAAAAAUGUUGCAUAACUUCUUGUUCGACAUCUUCAGAUUGCAAGGAGGUUUCACGUUGGAGAAAUGCGAGCAGCAGGUGUAUCGUUUACAUCCGGAGUAUGGUCGGACGUGUUAAGAGCAUGCUCAUGCUGGUAAGCGGUGAAGUCGAUUUCGCCGUUUGUGCUGCCCUUUUCCAUGAAGCACUUCUACAGGUUAUAACUCGUCGAGAGUGCAGGGCAUCUACAUCGAUAACGGUUUCCUGCGUAAAGACGAAUCCGAGCAGGUCGUCACUAGUUUACAGCAACUCGGGGUUAUUCUUCGGACAGUGGCUUCUCAUUUCUUCUUCUUACCAGCGAUCAGAUUUGAGGUUUCAAAUGGUUUUAGUUUGUUAAAGCAAAUCUGACUUUCUACGGUUUUUCCAUCGACGUGCAUGGUCGCCAAACUUUGUCUUUAUGUCGGACUGUCAAUCCGUAAGAAAAACGUCGAAUUACUCGCGAUACGUUUGUCAAAGUGGCAGAUACAACGGCUAACGAUUUAAAUCUAACUUGGGAUAAUAUACUUCUCGAACAAGGUACUUUGAGACCGGAUUUAAUUGAGUCCGCUUUCCAUAUGGCUUCUUCGCGCACCAUUAAGAUCUUUAAUCUUUUCGCAUUUUUUCCCCAAAAGACUUCCAUGAAGAUGAAGUAAGAGGUCUUUGAGGUAAGCGGAUUUUAUUUGGCUAAUAAAAUAUUGUGGGAUUCGGGUUGCAAUAAGAAGCUAGCCCAGAUGGCAAUCGUCUUGAUCCCUUUUCACUUUUAUCGCGAUUCAAGUCAACGCAUUCCAUCAUGCCAGCGAUCAGUCGUUGUCCGACCAUUCCUUUCACAUGAUUUUGUGACUGGACUUCCCACAAUUCCUGAUACCUAUCUGCCCCAAGAGGUUGAAGACAAGAUGGUUGAAGCCGUCUUAACUGUUCCAGGAAUUUCCAGGGUCUUGUAUGACCGGACAGCGAAACCACCCGGGACAACGAAGUGGGAAUUAUUUGAUUUACGAUCGUUGCUUAGACAAAUGAUCUCCGCACGAUCCAUAGGAUGAUCUCCGCACGCUUCAUAGGACACGGAUACAGAGUUGUAUCAUUGACCAGAUUUAGGGGG